GUACAAGGCUAAAUAGGGCCCUGGGAUGAGGCACCUGUGACAGGGAGGGGUGCAAAACCAAGGAGUUGGCUAGACUCCCAAAUAUAUAUAAAACAAGAGGGGGAAUAUAUAUUUGGGAGUCUAGCCAACUCCUUGGUUUUGCACCCCUCCCUGUCACAGGUGCCUCAUCCCAGGGCCCUAUUUAGCCUUGUACU
rnacentral:miRNA from 1 species